UACGGAGGGUGCAAGCGUUAUCCGGAUUCACUGGGGUUAAAGGGUGCGUAGGUGGGUAAGUAAGUCAGUGGUGAAAUCUCCGGGCUUAACCCGGAAACUGCCAUUGAUACUAUUUGUCUUGAAUACUGUGGAGGUCAGCGGAAUAUGUCAUGUAGCGGUGAAAUGCUUAGAUAUGACAUAGAACACCAAUUGCGAAGGCAGCUGGCUACACAAAUAUUGACACUGAGGCACGAAAGCGUGGGGAUCAAACAGG
rnacentral:rRNA from 1 species